UUUCUUCAAGCACACCGAGCCAAUACUCAGGAUCCAAGCCAGUCUCUCUAAGUCUAUUGACAAGCUCAACAUCAGAAGAACUCCCAUCGUGAUGUCCUGACAUUUCCGCAGAGCUGAAAGGAAAUAAUGAAAAAGAUGUACCGAUUUUCCCUUUUACAUCACCGUGUUCCCAGAGGAGCUCAUCUCUCCUCAGGUGCUGCUCGUUAUCAGUGAUGAGGCUCUAUUUAGAUCCGCCUCACACUGCUGACCAUGCGGUUGAAAGUUUCUGCUUAGAGUUGCUAGAGCUGGUUUGUCUUGGAUCUCCUGCUUUUCCAUACAUCUCUAAGCUAAGUACUUGCUGCCUUCGCUGUUUGUUAUUCUCUGGUGUGAGUUGUUUCUAGGCCUCAGGGAGAUGCAGGUUCCUUCAUCUGAGAAGGAACCAGCUGUCUCAUCUCCUGCUACCUAGCCUAGGGCUUGUCGGUUUUAGCAGGCAUUUAGGUAUCCAGCAUAUGAGUAUUUUCACCAUCAGGAUCUGCUCAUACUUGCAGGAGUCAGGGAAAGGCCUAGGGAUUACUAGGAGGUCACAUCCCUCUUCCUCAGCUUAUGAGGCCUAGAUUGUUGUCUAUUUGUUGUUGUGUGAAUUUGGUGUUUUCCCUUCCCCAUAACCUGUGACAAUACUUCAGUGCUUCACAGCAGUGUCUCUGACCCCCCAUGCCUGAGCUGUUAACAACACAGGGGCUACUCCAUAAGUCUAGAUCCCUGUAUAAGAGUUAAAGCGUGAAUACCAGGGGACUGCCAGGCUAACACUCUUAGGUUUAGUACAAAGUCAAACCUAUUGAUUGACACAGUGGUUCCACACCCGUUGUCGGCAACAACAUUUUGUCUGGAGUCGCUCAGCAAUGUAGCUGAGCAGCCGGUUAUAUUUCUCUUGGUGCUAAUGACUGCCUUCCUCUGCACUACAGUGAAGUAGGUGCCUGUUACAUAUGUGGUUAAAGUCUGGAAUUGUAGUGAACAGGUGCCUACUUCAAUCAGCAACUGGUAGGGAAAAUGAAAAGGCAUUGGGUAAAAGUGGUAUUUCGUUUUCAUGAUACUCAUGACCUAUCAAGUAAAUAGAAUAAAAGGAGCGUAGCGGCAUGACGUAAGACAACGUGCCGCAAUCCCUCCCUCUUCCCCUUCCCCCUCCCCGCCGCUCCGACAAUGCGUGCGGUAUGGGGACCGCCGUCCUCCACGCUGAAGGAAGAUUGCCUCCAUCUGGCCACCGUCUCACCUAUACACCUGGACCUUAGCCUAUCGGACAAGUUGAUUCGGAGUGGGAAAAGAACUUGUCGGCGGUAAAAGCGUUGAGGACCAGGGGCACUUGAUAGUGGGGAAGACCAGCCUGCACAUGAUACUGUGUGUGCCCCUGUUUAUUUCCGCCGCGCCGAACGCCUGGGGCGCAUGAAUUUCUAUUCUUCUAUAUCCUCAUAGAGCCCAUAGAAUCCCAGGAAGGAAAUUCGAUGAAAUAAGCCAUUAAAGACCCUGCCAGACACAAGGACGGGACUGGGUAUCGUGAGUACUGGUAAAUGUCCUAUAAUCACACACGAUGUCCUGGGUUUCCCUCAGCUUUAAUUUGCCGGUCUAAGGAGCAUACUGGCAGGAAUUAUUGCACUGCGUGUGACAAGCCCAAAUUUAAAGGGACGAGGACAGUACAUGGCAGUACUCUGGGGCUUGAGUAACUUAUCUGUCUUAUGCCCUCCACAAGCCCCUUGCUACGGACUUACUGCCACACAGUGAUCCUGAGAAGGGAGAAGAUUGUAGCUGCAGGUCAGUCGGGUGUCUGAGACGGAGAGUGGUGGAGUUACCAUAUAUUGGGUUAAGUAGCACGCAGGCGACUUCUUAUUCCUGGUUAUAUGGAGGAAAUAUGUGAUAUGUGUAAAAACGGAGUCCCCAUGCUUUGCUGGUUACGUGUCAUUCGCCUCGUGCUAUAAAGUAUUUUUAUUCAGCCCCAGUUUAAGUCCUGGGUAUUAUGCACAAGUGUUACUUCUAGUUUGAACUGGCCCAUAUUCUAUUCUGCUUACCACAUACUAACUGGAUGCAAAAAAUUCCUGAAUACAGAGUUUCUGGUAGAACAUCGAUGCUGGACUGCUGGGAAAUCUCUUUAAUGUCAUUUUCACCACAUGCUCUAUAUAUAACCGGGUGCUGUUGUGACUGCCCGAGUCUUAACUUUGCUUCCUAAAGUGACUUUAUACAGAUUACUUUGGUAAACCGUUAUUUCUCUCUAUUAAAAUAAAAAAGUGAAUUGUGCAGAUACCCCCAUUGCCGGGAUUGUAACAAGAAAGAAGUAAUGGAUGCACAUUUCUAUGCAAACUCAAUUAUUCUAGAUUUUGCUAGCAUAUGAUACACACCUGAUCGGAGUAGUAUUCUAGUCUAUAUAUACAACAUCUAAUAUCUAACCGCUUUAAAUAUAUCUGAACAAAUUUAAAAAAUAUAUAAAUUGCCCGCAAAGGCACAGAGUAGGACAUCUGGGGGGACUGUUUCCCCAAAAGGUGGGGGGGCUGGUACCCCCCCUUGCAAAUAUAGAGAAAUAUCUCAAGUCCCCCCCCCCCCCUUCCUGGUUAAAACUAGAACUGCUCAUAUAUUGGGGAUAUUGGAAACUAAAGAAAAAAGUGAAAUUCAACAGAAUUUAGGUUGAAGAUGUACAGUAUGUAAAACAUCAAUUGUAGACCCCAGGAUAGAUUUAAUUGAUAAGAAAUUGGAAGACAUAUUAGGUGCGGUGAAUCACACCAAUUAGUCAUUGGCAGAUAUGGCAAUCAAAAUAUGAUCCAUACAAUCAGUCAUAUAGCUCAUCAAAGGUGAGAUGAAUAAAGUACAGGAAAAGGUGAAGGAUUUACAGACUACAGUCACUGAUUUAAAAGUUGAGGCAGGCAGGACAACCACAAGAGUGGAUAAAAUGGAAGAGGAGAAGAAAGCACUUUGGGAUAAAAUCACUGACCUUGAGGAUAGAUCACAAAGAUAUAAUCUUCUUCAUUUUGUUGGAUUUCCCGAGGGGGUAGAAAAGGAAGACCCAGCGGGUUUUAUCCAAAAAUGGGUUCUGGAGAGUAUUGGACCUGAAUAUCUAUCCUCAUGGUUUAUGGUAGAACGAGCCCAUAGAAUCCCAGGAAGGAAGCCUUCCCCUGGGAGCCCCCCUAGAGCACUAUUAGCAAAGAUGCUGUGCUCCUAGGAUCGAGACCUGGUCCUGAAGAGGAUGAGAGAAUUACAGGAAAAAUACUUCAAUGAUAACAGGAUUGAGAUAUACUAGGAUUUUGGUAGAGAAACACAGAUCAAACGUAGAGAAUUCCAAGAAAUAAAGAAAAGGCUGUUUCAAGCAAAGAUCAAAUUUUCCUUAUUAUCUCCGGCUAAACUCAAAGUAAUAUACCAGGACCAGGUCUUGUUCUUUGUAAGCUCUAAUGAGGCCCAGGAAUGGCUUGACCGUAAAUGAAUAGGCGAUUAAUGUUCUUUUAUUUUUUAUAAUGUCUUUUUUUU